AUUCAAUGCAUAAAACAGAAAAAGCUUAAACUGCCAACGGAAUCAUGUAUAUCCCCAAUCCCCAUGUUUACCAACUUCAUGUGUAUUCUAGUGUUUGAGAGUGUGGCAGCCUGUAACCCUAGAUAUUGGCUUGCCCUGCAAGCAUACAGGCAGCACAUUAACCCUAUCACUACCACGACUUUCUCAGCUGGAUUUCAAAUUAACUUUUUAACCCCUUUAUGACACCCGAC